GACGAACGCUGGCGGCAUGCCUAACACAUGCAAGUCGAACGGGAUCCUAGCUUGCUAGGUGAGAGUGGCGGACGGGUGAGUAACACGUGGGAAUCUGCCUUUUGGUUCGGGAUAACCGCGGGAAACUGCGGCUAAUACCGAAUGCCCUCGAGAGAGGAAAGAUUUAUCGCCAGAAGAGGAGCCCGCGUCCGAUUAGGUAGUUGGUGGGGUAAAGGCCUACCAAGCCGACGAUCGGCAGCUGGUCUGAGAGGAUGAUCAGCCACACUGGGACUGAGAUACGGCCCAGACUCCUACGGGAGGCAGCAGUGGGGAAUAUUGGACAAUGGGGGCAACCCUGAUCCAGCAAUGCCGCGUGAGUGAUGAAGGCCUUAGGGUUGUAAAGCUCUUUUGCCAGGGAAGAUGAUGACUGUACCUGGAGAAUAAGCCCCGGCUAACUUCGUGCCAGCAGCCGCGGUAAU
rnacentral:rRNA from 1 species